GACGAACGCUGGCGGCGUGCUUAACACAUGCAAGUCGAGCGGUAAGGCCCUUUCGGGGGUACACGAGCGGCGAACGGGUGAGUAACACGUGGGUGACCUGCCCUUAGCUCUGGGAUAAGCCUGGGAAACUGGGUCUAAUACCGGAUAUGACUCCAUGACGCAUGUUGGUGGGGUGGAAAGCCUUGUGCGGCUAGGGAUGGGCCCGCGGCCUAUCAGCUUGUUGGUGGGGUGAUGGCCUACCAAGGCGACGACGGGUAGCCGGCCUGAGAGGGCGACCGGCCACACUGGGACUGAGACACGGCCCAGACUCCUACGGGAGGCAGCAGUGGGGAAUCUUGCGCAAUGGGCGAAAGCCUGACGCAGCGACGCCGCGUGGGGAUGACGGCCU
rnacentral:rRNA from 1 species